UACGUAGGGUGCGAGCGUUGUCCGGAAUUAUUGGGCGUAAAGAGCUCGUAGGCGGUUUGUCGCGUCUGCUGUGAAAACUCGGGGCUUAACUCCGGGCCUGCAGUGGGUACGGGCAGACUAGAGUGCGGUAGGGGAGACUGGAAUUCCUGGUGUAGCGGUGAAAUGCGCAGAUAUCAGGAGGAACACCGGUGGCGAAGGCGGGUCUCUGGGCCGUAACUGACGCUGAGGCGCGAAAGCUAGGGGAGCAAACGGG
rnacentral:rRNA from 1 species